AAUUAUCAAUUUGCAUAAUUUGAUUGCAUCUCCAUUGACAUUGCAACAAAUUCUAUUUAGCAUUUUCCAGUGAAAACAUUCAAGUACAUAAUUAAAUAAAGCUUAAAUAAAUAAGCACUACACCAAACACACACAUGGAAUAUAAUUUUAAAAGUACAAAAAGCUCUUAAAAGGAUACAAUAGAGUGUAUCUAUCGCCUGUCAGUGGUUAAACUAUUAAAAGAAAUUGUAUUUUACUGACUAAUAAAAAUACCAGUUUUCAUAUACAGUGUGAUAACUUUAAGCUUUAGUGCGUAACUUUUUGAUAUUGAUGAACGUCUGUUACAUUCAAGCCAUUGCCAAAUGAGUUGCUACAAAGCUAAUUGUGGGGUGGGUGGGGGGAGGGGGCGGUGCACGGUCACAGAAGGUUUGUAUCACGUGGACGCGCCGACAGUGUUGUUGUCAUUACUUGGAAUUCCUCAUGGGGGCAGCAGAAACUACGCACUAUAGCUUUAAGGAAGCAACACUGUAAGUCAGUCGAAUAGUAAAUCACAGCUACUGAAAAGGAAUGCAAAGAAAUGUCUUUUGAAACUUGAAUGGGGAAUUUUAAACCCUAAUUGUCCGUUACACAUGGAUUUGGCUGGCCGCUCGUUCACACAGCUAUGAUACAUGUCACCAUCACUGGCAUCCUUCAGUGUUAUUGUAUGUUUAUUUUUUUACUUGAUCAACUUGGUGUGUAUUUGUACAGUUUAAUGUAUUACAGAUGACCUCAAUCAUGAAGUUUAAUAUGACCCACAAACUUGUGACUGUCAAAUUAGUCUUACUUUUUUUAUUCAAAGACCAAUAUCUGCCCAAUAUACUAUACUGGUUCAGUUUAUCAAAGCUCUAGUUUUUAGUCACUCUGGGAGGUGCAGGAGGUUAUAUUUAGAUAAUUAUAUCUCCAGGCAAGACAGAAGAACAUCUAAACUAUUAAGUCUAGUCUGGAUGUGAUUCACCGCUGAUUGUAAUAUCCUUCAUUUCAACCCUAUCGCUUAGGUGCUUAUUGCUCUACGUUGUUUUAAUGCCUUGUAAAACAAAGUGCUAUCUUUGUGCUGUGACUUAGGGGACUUUCACACCUGCCUCGUCUGGUCCGGACCUUUGGACUUUUCAGUUUGAUCCGAACCAAAAUUACAGGUGUGAAACCUUCCCCGGACCACGGUCCGGACCAAACGGCCGAAAUUUGGUCCGACCAAAAGUGGUAUCCGGAUCAAACUGACACACUGACCGAACCAUGGUCUGGUUCGUUUAGGGUGAAAGCAUUUUUUGGAUGGUUCGGACCAAAUUCAGGAAACUGGCAGGCUAUCAUUGUGUUAUAAGACCGUGGAAGCUCCUUUUUAAGGAAUAGCUUAGCUCUCUGCUAUCAGAGCUUAGAAUACAUCAGCAGUUUACUUGUUAAGUGGUAGUAAAUGUCUGAAUAAAUGCUGCAGAAAGAAAGUUCCCAUGUCUUGCUUCUGAACAUCGCAACAAAACAAAAAAAGCCGCAGCAGUAGGGGAGAGCAGCAGUCAGUUGAGAAAACUCCGA